rnacentral:rRNA from 1 species
UUCGGGGACAGAGUGACAGGGGGGUGCAUGGUUGUCGUCAGCUCGUGUCGUGAGAUGUUGGGUUAAGUCCCGCAACGAGCGCAACCCUUGUCUUUAGUUGCCAGCACAUAAUGGUGGGCACUCUAGAGAGACUGCCGGGGAUAACUCGGAGGAAGGUGGGGAUGACGUCAAAUCAUCAUGCUCCUUAUGUUUUGGGCUACACACGUGCUACAAUGGCUGGUACAACGGGAAGCGAAAGAGUAAUCUGGAGCAAAUCCUAAAAGCCAGUCUCAGUUCGGAUUGUGGGCUGAAACUCGCCCACAUGAAGCUGGAGUUGCUAGUAAUCGUGAAUCAGAAUGUCGCGGUGAAUGCGUUCCCGGGUCUUGUACACACCGCCCGUCACACCAUGGAAGUUGGGGGCACCCGAAGUCGGCUAUCCAACCGCAAGGAGGAAGCUGCCGAAGGUGAAAUCAAUGACUAGGGUGAAGUCGUAACAAGGUA